GUGGGGAAUAUUGGACAAUGGGCGCAAGCCUGAUCCAGCCAUGCCGCGUGUGUGAUGAAGGCCUUAGGGUUGUAAAGCACUUUUGUCCGGGAAGAUAAUGACUGUACCGGAAGAAUAAGCCCCGGCUAACUUCGUGCCAGCAGCCGCGGUAAUACGAAGGGGGCUAGCGUUGCUCGGAAUCACUGGGCGUAAAGGGCGCGUAGGCGGACUCUUAAGUCGGGGGUGAAAGCCCAGGGCUCAACCCUGGAAUUGCCUUCGAUACUGAGAGUCUUGAGUUCGGAAGAGGUUGGUGGAACUGCGAGUGUAGAGGUGAAAUUCGUAGAUAUUCGCAAGAACACCAGUGGCGAAGGCGGCCAACUGGUCCGAUACUGACGCUGAGGCGCGAAAGCGUGGGGAGCAAACAGGAUUAGAUACCCGUGUAGUCC
rnacentral:rRNA from 1 species